rnacentral:rRNA from 1 species
UUUGAAUUGUAAUUUUGAAAUGUAUUGCCAAUGGAGGCGCAGGUGCAAGCCUAUUGAAAGAAAGCGUCAAUGAGGGUGAGAUUCCUUUUUGUCAUUUGCAGUCCUCCGUGCACGGUAUAUAUUUGACGAGUCACACUCCUCGGCAUUGGAAUGCAAAGUGGGUGGUAAAUUCCAUGUAAAGGUAAAUAUAUUAUUGAGACUGAUAGCAAACAAGUACCAUGAGGGAAAUAUGAAAAGGACUUUGAAAAGAGAAUUAAAAGAGUCUGCAUUUGCUGAACAAAAAGCAAACAAAAUUGAUCUUGCUUGGUGAGAUUGUUGCGUCUACUCUUGCAUGUCUAUGCUGGAUGUGGGUGCGAUGGUUCUUGCCUUGAAUGUCAGCUUCUAUUUCUGCAAAUCAUUACCCUUGCACAUGAAUGGUAAUUUGCCUGCGGGUAUUGAAAUGCAUGUGUUUGCAAUGAUUUGUGAUUUGAUACAUGUGUUUGGUGGUACUUGUGUGUGUUCCUUUGUCAAUGGGGAAGGCUUGUCUCUUAGAGAGCGAGCACAAGGCCCUUGCACAAUGUUGCUGGCAAAAUGUUUCUGCUUGACCCGUCU